UGUGUUCUCGGGGAGGCAGGAGGACUUGCAGCGGAUGCCAGGGACACGUGCCCACGUCAGCCUCCCCUUUUCCGGCCACAUUUCAAACAGGUCUCAAGAGCCAUGUAGCUUUUCCAGACUCACCUUGAGUAAACACACAGCUGCUGCCUCUCACCCACUGAGCUCGAAUCUGUCGUCAUUUUUGUAUUGUUCACCCGUGUACGGUUUGGCUACAGGCAACAAGGUGCCGAUCUGCCUCUUCAUGGAAGCAUCGAGGCUCUUGGACUGUGAACUGCGCUGAAUACGAAGAACUGAAGCUUUCCUCAAGAUAUCCUUUAGGAAAACUAACAGCUUCAAG